rnacentral:rRNA from 1 species
UACGUAGGGCGCAAGCGUUGUCCGGAAUUACUGGGCGUAAAGCGUGCGCAGGCGGUUCGCUGUGUCCUGUGUGAAAGCCCCGGGCUUAACCUGGGAAUGGCAUGGGAAACUGGCGGGCUGGAGUGUGGCAGAGGGGGGUGGAAUUCCGCGUGUAGCAGUGAAAUGCGUAGAGAUGCGGAGGAACACCGAUGGCGAAGGCAGCCCCCUGGGCUAACACUGACGCUCAGGCACGAAAGCGUGGGGAGCAAACAGG